rnacentral:tRNA from 1 species
UCCUCAUAGCUCAGUGGUAAAGAAUCUGCCUGCAAUGCAGGAGACCUGGGUUCAAUCCCUGGGUCAGGAA